UAUUCAAGAUUCCUCCUAAUCAGUUAUUUCUUCUUUGUAUGUAGAUGUAGUUGCAACUUCAGAGCUUUUCUCAUCUGUGGUGUCGUAGCGUGAGAGAGACGGAUUUGCAGUCAUUGAAACUCUUUGGACAUUACAAAGCCCAAUAAAGAUGGACAAAUGACAAGCCCAUUUUUAAAUUUUGUCUGACUCUCGCCUAUCCUACAUGAAUUCUACAGAGACAAUGCAUCAUCCCAUUCGGCUAGGUCAAUUUUCAUCCCUAUCUUGUUUAUAAUCUAUAAUCU
rnacentral:sRNA from 1 species